rnacentral:lncRNA from 1 species
UGGUGUAUACUGGUGAUACAGAUACUUGAUAGUCUACCUAUAAAAAGAAUUACAAUCGAUUCUUUUCAGAUCUACACUUGAGUAUUUAUAUAAGUAAUUAUCUUAAUGGGCCAACUUUAGUAAUUGAUGUAGCUUAAAGAACUGAAAACUGGACAAUGAAGAAGAUGGCAGAUCUUCUUCACUCAAAACAGUAGCAAUAGCUCUUGGAAUCCACCAAGACUCGAAGAUGAAGAAAUAGAGAGAAUAAAGAUAGAAAGAACAGUAGAACUAGAAAUAGAAAAUAGUAAAAGUAGUCAAGGUUUUUAAUACCUGAAUUGAUUAGGGCAUAAGAAUCAAAUAUGCUCCUCCCCAUGGGUGGUCCACCACUCUACCAUAUUUAUACUCAUAUCAUUGGUGGUGAACAAUCCAAUGAUAUGAGUUGGGGCCUUCUAGAAAGGAGAGAUGGUCCGACCUUGGUCAGACCAUAUAUGGGCCACUUCAUAAAAAUUCAGAGGCCCACCCUGUCCUUCAUCGAUCUAUAACUGAAUAUCCAUCAAUAUUCUCAUAAUGCAUGUAAACAGUACAAUUAUUAUGUGCUGCAUCAGUAAUUGGCCCGAUAAGGAUGGAAUCCAAACAGUCUCCAUUUAUCACUUAUAGCUCCUUAGUAAAUGAUUAAUCUUAAUAGUGUUAUACAAUAAACAAUUAAACAUUCUUUCAUCUUCUAGAAUGUUAGAUAGAUAAAUAUAGAUUUAAUCAAAGUUUGAGGUGCGCCAUAGCACGUAGCAUGACUAUCCGCAUUAUGGAGCUAUAAGGAACCAUAACACCUGGUAUUUUAUAUAUAUAUAUAUAUUUUACAAUUACAUACACAUCUGUAUUAUAUAAAAUUAUAAAUAUUGUCAAUUUAGAGUAACUUAAUGCAUUAAAAUACUACAAUGAAAAAAAAAGACAUGGAUACAAAUUACAAAUAGUCAAAAUACAAAGCUAAAUUAGUCGAAAUAAAAGAUUAAAAAAGUCAACAUAUCAUGAAGAAAAAAGAGAGAUAUCGAUCCGAAAAACGGAGAUGCAAACCAGCUCGGGAGAGUGAGAUGAGGUCACCGGAGUCUGGGACGGUAGCCGGAAUUUUCUGAACAGUUGCUGGUGAGUGGAGGUUGGGAAGAGUGGGCUCUAUAGAGUGGAAAUCACGAUUUCACACUAUAGCUUAAUUUUAACCCUAAACAAUUUUUUAUUGGGUAACUGGAGCCUGGAGAAAGCGUUACCACCUAGAAACUGGGUAAUUAUCUAGGGUUAGCAUGUGAUGUAGCCUAGAAACGCAAUUGAAAUAGCGCUAUCAACAGACACUAUAGUGUGCGCUACACAAACCAUGGAUUCGAUAAAAAACUUGACACUGAAUUAAAUAAUGAGUAGAUCCAAAUAUUUUACAUUUCUAUAAAAUAGUGAUGCAACUAGGGAUGUUAAUUGAACCUAACGAACCGAACACCCAAGUAUUCAGUUCAGUUUGUUUAACCAAACAAACCUAAAUUUGGGUUUGGGUUUGGUCCGUUUAGUUAACCAAAAUAAUUAUAUAAGUUAUGAAAAUAUAAAAAUAAUUUAUAAUAUAUCGAUAUAAUAGGUAAAUUACAAAAGAAUUUAUAUAAGUUAUGAAAAUAUAUAAUUAGUUUAUAAUAUAUUAUAUAUAUAUAUAAUAAUAAAAUACUAAAGGAAUCGAACUGUUCAUCGAACCUCAACCAAUUUCAGGUUUGGGUUCGGUUCGUUUGGCUAACCGAACCCAAAUCUUACCAAACCUAAUCUGAACGAUUCGUCAAAUUCGAACUUUUUUUACAAUUCUAGAUGUAACCGGAAAGGAACGUGAUACAUGACUAUCCAAUAAAUGAGUAUACUAAAAAAUCAUCAAUUUACUAGUGGAUGGUAUCAUUAUACAAAUUCAAAAGAAGAUUGUUUUUCAUGUUUGAUUCUAGAAUUAUAUUUUAACGAGAACAAUAUUGAAUGAGAUCAAAGGUUAUGUUUAAAAUAUGCUUUAGAUCUUUGGUUUUGUUAAGACUUGCAAAGGCAAUGUUUUUUAACUGUUUUGAAAACGAUUCUUAAAAUGAAUUACCUAUGAAAUAGUCUUUAUAUUAAUGACCACCAUGAAAAAUGAAAAACGGCUUGGAAUUUUUGUAAUAUGAUAUUACAAUGCAUACAUACAUCCAAAUGCAUCCUAAAAGGAGAGAUUUGUAAAGAAGGAUACCUGUUUCUUCUUAAGAAACAUUCCAGAGCUCGUUCGCACUUUGCUCAAAACACUCUUCCCUGAAUCAUUAUCAGCGACCAUCGAUUUCUCUAGCUUAUCCUUAGCCUGUGCAUAAAAUAAAUUAGAAAUACUUG